AUUUCUUUUAACAUAUCAAGAAGUCGAAUUGGCAGUGAAGAAAUAAGUAGGAAGUCGAAAACCAUCAUUGCCUAUAACCAAAACCCAUUAAACCCAUACCAUGCUUUUUUCUUCACUGCCAAUUCGACUUCCUGAUAUGUUGAAAGAAAU
rfam:Gossypium raimondii Chr12_contig_228, whole genome shotgun sequence.